UGUGGUAUAGCUCUAAAUGAAGGAUUGGAGUAGCUUCUUUUGUACGCUUCAUUUACUCUGUUCCUCUUCUAAAACAAAACCCUAAUCCUUGUCUCUGUCUCUCUCUCUGGCGAAUACGGCGAACAAUUGUUAUCAACAUUCAUCAAAUCCGAAUACCUUCAUCCACGCUACAUGACAGAGCGGAUUAGAGGAUACCUAUUAUCCAUGUGAAGCUAUCACGUGGUUACCUGCAAGGAAGGAACUUCAUUUCCCUGAUUUCUUUGAUGCUAUGUCAGCAAGCUAAAAGGGUAUUCUUGUCUAUUCACAUGCAAUGUCUGGUUGGGUGUUUGUGAUAAUCACCUAUUAACGUAAUUCCACUGGCUUAGCUUUCUCUUUAGCUGGUAAACAAUCCGAAUGGAGAUAUAUCUCUUGCAAUCCCCCUAUCCUUGAUCUACACUUUUUCAAGGGAAAAAUAUAUACGCUAUACACCAUGAGUCAGUUAUAUGAAUCCGUUUCAGCGUUCGUGAAAGAUAAGUUUAAUCUCUCUUUGAAUCAGUAUCAAUGACUCAGUGUUCAGAAGCGUAUGCGGUGUGUGGAAUCUUGUAUAGUUUUCAGGAGGUUAUGUAUCUCUUUAUUAUUUUGAUUUAUUGUUUUGCUUCUAAAUACAAUAGUUGAGAAAUGAAGCUUUAUGGUGACAGCCGACAGGUUCAAAACAUCCUAUUAUCAGUCUUUGGUCAUGGUAUAUGACUGAGGUGUUACUAAGAGUUGGGGAGAUUAUAGCUUCAAGAACAGGUGCGAAGAAGCUUUGACAGAGAAUGAAUUGGUUUACGGAGCUUAGUUUAUGGUUUUGAAACCAAACUAAGAUGGGCAUGUGUCUCUUGACAACAUCAUAAUGGUUAGCUUUCACUUUUUUUCCUUCAAAUACAUUCUUAUCUUAGUGUUGCGAGAUCAUUUGCAGGCUCUCAUGUGUAAUGCUACAAAUGCCAUGGAGUAUAGGGUUCGUGAUAUUCUAAAUUCGAUGGCACCCUCAUCUUAUAAGAAGACGGAUUUUGUUGCAGCAAUAAAAACAUAUCAAGUUGAAGCCCUUUAGACAUGGGUGCAAAUUAGUCCAACAUUGUUUGAUUACUUUAAACAGGAGGGUAGCUUCCCGGCUUCUGUUGAAAUACUCACUCGGGUGUAUAAUCUUUUUUAUUAUUACAUUACUAUAAUUACAUUACUUUUUAUAAUUACAUUACUAUUGUUAACAAGUUUGAACUUUCUUCACAUAUGUAUUUUUUUCAAAUGAGGCAUCUCAUGGCUGGCAUGGCAUCAAUUUACUUUACUGGUAGAAUUAGGUCUGUGAGGAUGAUAUCUUUGCUGGUGUGCUACUGCAGUCUCCAUCUAUACAGGAUUGUGAUGAGAGAGACGUUCUACUGUUAUCCUUUCCCACAAAAAUACUAAGAUCAUGUUGGUAUCACAAUGGCAGAUCUUGGUCAACUCUGCCAUGGCAGCCUGCAUCAAGAUGGGAAGAAUAGAACUAGCAAGAUCUUGCUGAAAAUAGACUUUAUGCCGAUCACUGGCUGGAAUAUUACGCCACCAGAAGCUGUAAACUUAUAGGGAAGCAAUCGAGACUGUACCGAACUUGAAAAAUUAUUGGAUAUUUGACAUCUAAGAUGCUUAUAGAUAACCCUGAAAAAGCUUCUCUUUUGUAUUGGGAAGAAGACUAUGAUCUUCUUUUGAAAUAUGUGUUUGUGCUAAUAGCAAAACUAGGACGAAGUUGUGUUCUCGUGGGUCUGGUAAAUCACAUAUUCUUUUGUGACAUAGUUUGUAGAUUGAAGAACCUCUUGUGUAUAAGUAAUUCCAUCGAAAUAUGGAGGAAGUUAUCUA